GGCGUUUUGUGUGGCAAGUAGUGCACGUAGACGCCACCGGAUACACGUGCGCGGCGCGUCUAUACAAAAUAUAUUAAAAAGUGUGUUAAGUCGCCGUCGCUGGCCACCGGUGGCUGUGGUCGGUGGCUCAUUUGCGCCGAGCCUAAAGUCAGUAUAGUAUGCGGGGAGUCUAACUGGUUGUUAAAUAGCCGUUCUUGAAUAAAAUUGCAAGGCAAAUGGAACUGAAUACAUCAGUCUAACAGAAGCCAUGGAUGUAGUAACUAGUACGUUGUCGAGUUGGGCUACAGCACAAAAUGCUUUCAGAGUGAUAUCUCUGCUUCAUUUAACGGCCUUCCGGUACCCAGAACAAGCAAACGUAAGAGAUGGCGCGUCGUUCGACUACAUAGUGCUGGGCGCGGGCUCGGCGGGCUGCGUGCUGGCCAACAGGCUCAGCGAGGACCCGAGGGUGACGGUGCUGCUGGUCGAGGCCGGCGGGGACCCGCCUCUAGAGUCCAACCUACCGGCAUUGGUGGCUUACAACUUGAACUCUCAAAACGACUGGAACUACACUACUUCUACUAAUACAACAUGCACUGAUUAUAAAUGUCACGUUAACGACGUGAAUGAGUUGACACGAGGAAGGAUGCUAGGUGGAUCUAGCAGUCUUAACAUCAUGUAUUACGUGCGAGGCGACCCACAUGAUUAUGACACAUGGGCAAAUAUUACAAAUGAUCAAAGCUGGAGUUACAACAACAUUUUACCAUACUUCAUCAAAAGCGAGAGAAUGGAAACUACUGCCAUUCUGAAUUCCCCAACCGGUAUUUUUCAUGGAGCCAACGGAUACUUAGGUGUAAGUCAACCAUAUAACAUCGAAGCAAAAAAGUAUUUAGAUGCUAUUCAGGAACUUGGGUACAAUACUGUUCUCGAUACGAAUGGAAAUAAUACGUUAGGAUUCAUGCAGACACAAUUAACAAUAGCUGAUGGUAUUCGCCAAAGCACGGCAAAUGCUUUUUUAUCACCAAUAAAAAAUCGACCAAAUCUUUACGUCCUCAAAAACCAUUUAGCAACAAAGAUCAAUUUCGAAAACCAGACGGCUGUAAGCGUGAAUGUCAACAACGAAAAUGGUCAGACAAUAACAGUGAAAGCAAGUAAAGAAAUAAUUUUGUCGGGUGGAGCGAUCAACAGCCCACAAUUAUUAAUGCUGUCAGGUAUAGGUCCUAAAAAUCAUCUGGAAGAUUUAGGAAUAAACGUUGUUUCCGAUCUUCCUGUAGGAGAAAAUUUACAAGAUCACAAGCUAGUUACUUUGUAUCAUACAACAGGACCAGCACCCAUUCCCGCGCCUAUUAAUCCUCAUAAAUUUCCUACCAAGGAUAUAGUCGGAUUCGUUACAUUGAAAACAAACCAGUCCUACCCAGAUUAUCAAACAGUAAUUAUAACAGGAGGUCCAGACAUCAUACUUACAUUUUGUGUCCUUAUAAUUGCAUUUGAUGAUGAUAUCUGUCAAAAUUUAUAUGACAGAAGCCAAAACAGAGAAGUAAUGAUAACUGCGUUAACUCCUGUGCAACCGAAAUCCAGGGGUCAACUGCUAUUAAAUAGCACAGAUCCUGAAGAAUAUCCUUUAAUCUACACAGAGCCAUAUUCAGAUGAAAGUGAUCUUGAAAGUGUAGUAAGUUAUUUAGAGGAUUUUUCCCGAAUUAUUAACACAACGUACUUCAAGAGUGUAGAUGCAGAGUUAUUAGAGUUGGAAAAAUGUUCGAGCUACCCUGCUGGCAGCAAAGCUUACUGGCGGUGUUACGCUAAGUGCUUAGUUACCACAUUUUACCACCAAGUGGGCACGUGCGCCAUGGGCUCCGUGGUGGACAGCCGGCUGCGCGUGCGCGGCGUGGAGAGGCUGCGCGUGGUGGACGCCAGCGUCAUGCCCACCAUCACCAGCGGCAACACCAACGCGCCCACCAUCAUGAUCGCCGAGAAAGCCGCUGACAUGAUCAAGGAAGAUAAUAAUAUUAUUAUUCGAAAACGAGACCAUAAGAAACAUAAAUCGCAUGGAUAUAAAGUAUAAAUUAGAGAUAACUAUCAAAGUUAAAAUUGUUUGUUAUUUUAAUUAUUUUCUGAUAUUAAAUUUUUCGUGUGUGUUAAAUCCUAUAGUCCAGACACUUCACUUUUGUUCUGUAAACAAAAAAAUUCGAGCAUCCACAAAUCUAAACAGUGAACAACAAAAAAAUAUAGGCGUAUAUUAUACCUUUGGUCUAUUCGCGGAUUUCGCGGUUAUUGAGCAAGCGUGUACCGCUAUGACGUAAGACUCGACGUUAGCGUAAACCGUGUAAAACUAAGUCCCGUGUCGCCAAUUAGCCAUCCGACACAGGCACGUGCGCGUGCGCUCAACUUUAUAGGAUGCUCCAAUUUUUUGAAUUUAAGAAUAUUAAUUUUUUGUUUUAUUUACAAAAAUUGUUAAUUUUAUUUUUAAAAUAUUUUAUUAUUAACAUACAUGGAUAUUACUUACUUCUUUUUUUUAUUAAUAGUUCACAAUUUUGGAAUGAAAAGUUUCUUUUUAGGGUUCCGUACCUCAAAAGGAAAAAACGGAACCCUUAUAGGAUC